CCCUUAGAUGUUCUGGGCUGCACGCGCGCUACACUGACACACGCAACGAGUCUCCUGCCCUGACAGGGUCGGGUAAUCAUUUGAGUGUGUGUCGUGAUGGGGAUAGAGUAUUGCAAUUAUUGCUCUUGAACGAGGAAUUCCUAGUAAGCACAAGUCAGCAGCUUGUGCUGAUUACGUCCCUGCCCUUUGUACACACCGCCCGUCGCUCCUACCGAGGGGGUGAUCCGGUGAAUGAUUCGGACUCUGGUGCUGCUAGCUGCUAGAUGCGCCGGAGGAAGUUUUGUGAACCUUAUCACUUGGAGGAAGGAGAAGUCGUAACA
rnacentral:rRNA from 1 species